UUUAGGCCUCCCAAGCUUUGAUCUGUUGCUGAUGGCUUUAUAUGCAGAUUUUGCUUUCCGGGAAUUUGGAUCCUGUAUUUGCAGCUGCAGCGGUCAUAAUUCCAACAUCACUUUACUUUGUACUCAAGAAAUUCGUUUUGAAACCUUAUUACCUUAAGAGGGAAAAGCAAAAGGCUUUAGAGAAUAUGGAGAAAACUUCUACACCGGCAUGGCUAUCCAUAAGUGCAAAAUAUCUGUGCAAUUUAAUGGGGACCAAGUUUUGUGCUGUGUUGUAAUUCUUGGUUCUAGAGGCAAGAGCAGCAGCAGAAAAAGCUCAGAAGUUACUAUAGAAUGUAGCGAAUAGGAAACAAAAUAGGCAGCUAGAAAUCGGGGGCCUGGUAAUCACAAAAGCAUGGUAUGGGAAUCUCAAAGCUUUGAAGAAAAGAGAUGAACUGGUAGAAUCGAAUGAUUCACCAGUCAUUGAUGUUAAAUUGCCUAUAAAUUUCCUUGUCAGUGAUUCUGGGCAACUGAAGCUUCAUGAAGGCGUAAAGAAGUCCGGCAUUAUGGGCUUCUGUGAUCCAUGUCCUGGAGAGCCUAAACAGUUGUAUGUGGAAUACACUUACGGUGAUGGGAGAUAUGAGGUUACCGUUGAUGAUUAUGACAAGUUGCUAAUACCUCAGGAAGAGCAAAGAAUUUGAUUUUCAUUUCACCAUGUUUGAAUCUCAUUUGCUUACCUAUCACAGUUAGAAUGAUUUUACAAGCCUUGAGACAAAAUGAAAAGGUAUGUAUUAGAUUUCCACCUUCUUCUCCCAUUACAACCGAUCCUUUUUAUCUUUUUCCUUGAAUAUUGUAUUUAAUUAGAAACCUGAAAAUAAGUUUCCCUGUGUAUUAUUCUUUUUGACAAAAAUUGAA